UGGGGAUUCGCCAAGCGGUAAGGCACUGGACUUUGACUCCACUAUGCACAGGUUCGAAUCCUGUAUCCCCAGCCA
rnacentral:tRNA from 1 species